rnacentral:misc_RNA from 1 species
UGUACAUAAUAAGGGGUGACAACAUAAGCAUUGUCGGGGAACUAGAUGAAGAGGUCGAUUCACAUCUUGACCUGUCAAACCUAAGAGCUCAUCCCCUCAAGCCAGUCAUCCAUUGAUCACCUAUGAAUAUGUUGGUUGAUAUAGAACUAACGUAUGGAGUACAAAAUGUUACAAUGGUGUAAUUCUUGAUGGUUGUAAACCUAGUCCUUAUCUAAUCAAAUUCUGCUGGUAUUAUUUUGUUUUUUAAAAAAAAAAAAAAAAA